rnacentral:rRNA from 1 species
UACGUAGGGGGCAAGCGUUGUCCGGAUUUAUUGGGCGUAAAGAGCGUGUAGGCGGUUUGGUAGGUCCGUUGUGAAAACUCGAGGCUCAACCUCGAGACGCCGGUGGAAACCGUAAGGCUAGAGUCCGGAAGAGGAGAGUGGAAUUCCUGGUGUAGCGGUGGAAUGCGCAGAUAUCAGGAGGAACACCGAUGGCGAAGGCAGGUCUCUGGGCAUUAACUGACGCUGAGGAGCGAAAGCAUGGGGAGCGAACAGG